GGCCAGACUUUGGCAGCGUGUAAGGUCUGAGGACAGGGGCACCGGAGGCCGAGGAUGAGAGGCCAUUGCCUGUUUCCAGGCAGCCAGGGCCUCAGAAACUCCGGCCGGAGCACUCACCCGUCGGUGGAGGCCGUUACCAGGGCCACCUUAUUCGCGAGCGGGUCCCGGCGGGUCAUCCCGGAGCUGGCCAUCCGCACCGAAUUCCAAGCCCGGGCACAGAGGCCUAGCAGCCCCGUCUUGUGCAUGGCUCAGACCAGCAAGUGCCACUUCGGAUAAACCCUUUGGACUCCUAGCUCCAAUCAGGUGUCUGCUUUGUCGAGGACUCACAGACACAGUCUCCUUUCUUCAAGAUCUUUACAAUGCAAGACCUCACUAACACACAGGGGAUGGUCUCCCAGAGGGUCUGCGCUGUUCCUUCACUCAGAACAUCAAGAUGCACUGAAGUAAGGAUCCUCUAUUCUACAGUUCCUGCUAGCUGAGCUAUUCCAUGGGGGCUUCAGCAGGAAAUUCCAAGGUUGGCUUUGACAAGCUAAGGCCGGCUGGUGGAGCACAUCGAGUUCUGGAGGUUCAUGUGUGUUUUCAUGAAGAUCUGUCUGCCAGUAGCAGAUAAAGAGUUGUUGCCCCACUCCUCCUGGGGUCUUCUAUUUUCCUGGGAGGAAUUUCUGGAUUAACUGAACACACACACACACACACACACACACCCCUUUGAAGCAUCAACAGUAAUUCUGAGUUCUUAGGGACAAUGCAGAUUAAAUCCACAAUAAGAAAGACAACUAUGGCCAGGUGCGGUGGCUUACGCCUGUAAUCCCAGAACUUUGGGAGGCUGAGGCGGAUGGAUCACCUGAGGUCAGGAGUUCGAGACCAACCUGACCAACAUGGAGAAACCCCGUUUCUACUAAAAAUACAAAAUUAGCCGGGCAUGGUGGCAGGCGCCUGUAAUCCCAACUACUUGGGAGGCUGAGGCAGGAGAAUCGCUUAAACCCGGGAGGCAGAGGUUGCAGUGAGCCAAGAUCGUGCCAUUGCACUCCAGCCUGGGCAAGAAGAGCAAAACUCCAUCUCAAAAAAAAAAAAAAAAAAAAAAAGAGUACUAUUGAUCCAGAGGUGGCCAGACUAGCCUCACUGGAGAUAAUAGGUGACAUUAUUAUGCAAAGUGGUUUCAGUUCCCUUGUCUUGUUUUUGGAAUAGUAUAAGAGGCCUACAAUACGAAUAAAUAAGGCCCAUCACAAGCCUCACCAAAGGACAAAACUAAUCCACUUCUGAAGAAGGCUCUUUGUUGGGCCAGAUCAAAUCCUUGGACAGAACUGUACUCUUAAUCUCUGUAGUGAAAGUGGGGGGUAGUUUAAGAAUUUAUUAACCUUUUACCUUGAGCAAUCCCUCAGAAGUAAGAGGUGUCAGGCCUCUGAGCCGAAGCUCAGCCAUUGUAACCCCUGUGACCUGCACAUAUAUGUCCAGAUGGCCUGCAGGAGCCAAGAAGUCUGGGGCAGCUGAAAAACCGCACAAGAAGUAAAACAGCCUGUUCCUGCCUUAACUGAUUAACCAACAUUACAACAUUCCACCAUUGUGACUUGUCCCUGCCCUACCUUAACUGAUCAAUCGACCUUGUGACAGUCUUCUUCUGGGCAAUGGGUCUUAUCAUCUCCCCACCAUGUACCUUGUGACCCCUUCCUCUGCUAACAAUAGAUAACCACGUUUUACUGUAAUUUUCCAUUACCUACCCAACUCCUAUAAAGCAACCCCUUCCCCAUCUCCCUUCACUGACUCUGUUUUCAGACUCAGCCCACUUGCACUCAAGUGAAUAAACAGCCUUGUUGCUCACACAAAGCCUGUUGGUGGUCUCUUCACACAGAUGUGCUUGACAAAAGGGAAGGGUGGAUUUGUCCUUCUGGUUACAUAUGUUCUGCUCACUCAUUUUGAAUUUAAUUAAACAAGGAUUGCCCUUACCUUUUCAUACUUUGUAAGAAACCAUAAAUACUUAUGCACCAUGAUUUUUUUAAAGAAACACUUUUUAUUCUGAAGUAAUUAUAGUCUCAUAGGAAGUUGCAAAAGUAGUACAUGGAGUCCCUGAGUACUCUUCCCCCAAUGGUGACAACUGUAGUAUAAUAUCAAUUCUGGGAAAUUGACAUUGGUACAAUACUAAAUAGACUAUAGACCUUAUUCAGUUUUCAUUAUUUUUUACAUGCACUCAUUUGUGUGUGUCAAUGUGUGUCUGUGCUUCUCUGCUUGUUGAUGUAUUUAGGAGAAUUUUGACUAGCGAGCCAUACAGAGCUACUCCAUUCUUAUUCCUUUGUUCAUUAUCUGGAUGAACUAUCACUUACCAGUCCCCUGUUGGAAUCCACUUCAGUUGUUUAUGGUUUUUCUCUAAGGCAUGAUGUUGCAAUAGCAUCCUUGUACAUGUAGCUAGGAGAACUUGUACUAAGCCCAGAUAAAUAGUUGAAGUACAAGGGCAGAGGAGUGUGUCUUUGAUAUUUUAAUAGAAAUCACCUGUUGCCCUCUAGAAAAGCUGUGCCCUUUUCCAGUGGCAGAGAACCUUCCUGAAAGGCAGUCCUGUGUGAUGGUGUCCAUUUCAUCACACCCUUAUAACACUCAGCUUUAACAAACAUACAGAUUUUUGCUGAUGUGGGAGAAAAUAUUAAUUAUUAAUGAUAUUAAGGUGAUUAUCUUUUCGUAUGUUUAUAGAUAUUUGUAUUUCUUUUUGAAUGAACUGCUCGUGACCUUUGUCUGCUUUUAUUUGGUUGUUUACUUCUUUCUCAUUUAUUCCUAUAAACUCUUUAUAAAAGGAAAUUAACCAUUUGAUUGUCAUAUGUUGUGAAUAUUUUUACCAUUUUGACUUUUGAACUUAUGUCUUUUUAAUGAAUUGUAGAAGUUUAAAAUCUUUAUGGAAUAAAUUUAUUUAGUUUUUUGUUUA